AAGUCGUAACAAGGUAACCGUAGGUGAACCUGCGGUUGGAUCAUUAACAAAACGAUUUCGGCCUUUGCGACCGAGGUCCCGUCCCACGCAGGGACGGGAUCGCGGUCGUCGAGGGCUUUCGUAGGGUGCCUCGCCCGACGGGCUCCUUCGGGAGCCUGCCUCGGGUGCUUGCUUCGAGGGGGGAGAGCAAGCGCGUUGUGAAUGCCCGUAGCGCAAGCUACGGUGAGCUGCAACAGAAAGGGGCGUUUGAGACCCGUGUCUUCUAUCGUCUUCAGCUUCUGAAUUCUGCACUGUCUGGACGCGAAGGGUUGCCUCCCACGGAGGUGACCAAGCAAAUAAAAACAACCUUUGGCAACGGAUCUCUUGGCUCUC
rnacentral:misc_RNA from 1 species